ACACCCUGUGCAGGAGUCAGACCCAGUCACUGAGACACAGCGCAGACAUGAAGGCUCCUGCCCAGCUCCUGGGGCUCCUGCUGCUUUGGCUCCCAGGUGCCAUGUGUGACAUCCAGAUGACCCAGUCUCCACCCUCCCUGUCUGCAUCUCCAGGAGACAGAGUCUCCAUGACUUGCAGGGCCAGUCAGGGCAUAAGCAAUUAUUUAGCCUGGUAUCAGCAGAAACCAGGGAAACCACCUAAGCCUCUGAUUUAUUGGGCAUCCACUUUGCAAUCUGGGGUCCCAUCGAGGUUCAGUGGCAGCGGAUCUGGGACAGAGUUCACUCUCAGCAUCAGCAGCCUGCAGCCUGAAGAUCUUGCCACUUAUUACUGUAUGCAGUAUUAUAGUGCUCCUCGCACAGUGAUACAAGUCAUAACAAAAACCUCCCAGGGCAGCAGAAGUGAGAGGCUGGGCUGCCCCAGCUGCAUCUCUUGCUGCCUCUGCCGGCUGAUGGUGCUUCUCAACUACAACUCGGGGUUCCAGGUUACUGAUCAUUCUAGUUGA